rnacentral:rRNA from 1 species
GACGGAGGAUGCAAGUGUUAUCCGGAAUCACUGGGCGUAAAGCGUCUGUAGGUGGUUUAAAAAGUCCACUGUUAAAAAUUGAAGCUUAACUUCAAAGAUGCCGUGGAAACUUUUAAACUUGAGGAUGAUAGGGGUAGAGGGAAUUUCCAGUGGAGCGGUGAAAUGCGUAGAUAUUGGAAAGACCGCCAAUGGCGAAGGCACUCUACUGGGCCAUUACUGACACUGAGAGACGAAAGCUAGGGGAGCGAAUGGG